GACGAACGCUGGCGGCGUGCUUAACACAUGCAAGUCGAACGGAAAGGCCCUGCUUUUGUGGGGUGCUCGAGUGGCGAACGGGUGAGUAACACGUGAGUAACCUGCCCUUGACUUUGGGAUAACUUCAGGAAGCUGGGGCUAAUACCGGAUAGGAGCUCCUGCUGCAUGGUGGGGGUUGGAAAGUUUCGGCGGUUGGGGAUGGACUCGCGGCUUAUCAGCUUGUUGGUGGGGUAGUGGCUUACCAAGGCUUUGACGGGUAGCCGGCCUGAGAGGGUGACCGGCCACAUUGGGACUGAGAUACGGCCCAGACUCCUACGGGAGGCAGCAGUGGGGAAUAUUGCACAAUGGGCGGAAGCCUGAUGCAGCAACGCCGCGUGCGGGAUGACGGCCUUCGGGUUGUAAACCGCUUUCGCCCGUGACGAAGCGUGAGUGACGGUAAUGGGUAGAGAAGCACCGGCUAACUACGUG
rnacentral:rRNA from 1 species